UCUGCCCCUGCUACCACGGUUCCGACCCUUUGCCUGCCUUCCGGCUAACGCACUCGGACCAGUCCCUGGAAGGACUCCCAUAGAGUUGUCUCAGCUCGGACCUCGUUUUAUGAGAAGGGACCACAACCUGUUAUAACGUCACCUUAUGGGCUGAGCGGGCCCUCAGAACCUGCAGGCAAGGAAGGAGGGGGGCAGUCAGCUGCAGAGUCAGCUCCGCAACACGGACGGAGACAGAGAUGGAGAGAGAGGAGAAUGAAAGGUCAGGAGAGAAGAUCAUCACCCUUCAUCAAUCUGAGGGAAAAUGUCUCUUUAGGUUUAGCUGAAGGUCACAGUCACC